rnacentral:rRNA from 1 species
CGGGGUGCAGCAGGCGCGAAAACUCUACAAUGCAGGCAACUGCGAUAGGGGAACAUCGAGUGGCGUCCAUAUUGGAUGUCUGUCCUCCCGCCUAAAAAGCGGGAGUUAGCAAGGGCCGGGCAAGACCGGUGCCAGCCGCCGCGGUAAUACCGGCGGCUCGAGUGGUGGCCGAUAUUAUUGAGUCUAAAGGGUCCGUAGCCGGCUUUGCAAGUCUCUCGGGAAAUCCAGCGGCUUAACCGUUGGUCGUCCGGGGGGUACUACAUUGCUUGGGACUGGGAGAGGUAGGAGGUACUCAGGGGGUAGGAGUGAAAUCCUGUAAUCCUUUGGGGACCACCGGUGGCGAAGGCGUCCUACCAGAACAGGUCCGACGGUGAGGGACGAAAGCUAGGGGCACGAACCGGAUUAGAUACCCGGGUAGUCCUAGCCGUAAACGAUGCUCGCUAGGUGUCACAACAGUCGUGAACUGUUGUGGUGCCGUAGGGAAGCCGUGAAGCGAGCCACUUGGGAAGUACGACCGCAAGGUUGAAACUUAAAGGAAUUGGCGGGGGAGCAC